rnacentral:rRNA from 1 species
AUAUCAAUAAGCGGAGGAAAAGAAACUAACAAGGAUUCCCCUAGUAACGGCGAGUGAAGUGGGAAAAGCUCAACUUUGUAAUCUGGCUCUUUCAGAGUCCGAGUUGUAGUCUCGAGAAGCGUCAUCCGCGCCGGACCUUGGGUAUAUCUGUUGGAAAACAGUGUCAGAGAGGGUGACAAUCCCGUUCGUACCAAGGACGCCCGUGUGCAUUGUGGUGUGCUUUCUAAGAGUCGAGUUGUUUGGGAAUGCAGCUCAAAUUGGGUGGUAAAUUCCAUCUAAAGCUAAAUAUUGGCGAGAGACCGAUAGCGCACAAGUA